GACGAACGCUGGCGGCGUGCUUAACACAUGCCAGUCGAACGGAAAGGCCCUGCUUUUGUGGGGUGCUCGAGUGGCGAACGGGUGAGUAACACGUGAGUAACCUGCCCUUGACUUUGGGAUAACUUCAGGAAACUGGGGCUAAUACCGGAUAGGAGCUCCUGCUGCAUGGUGGGGGUUGGAAAGUUUGGCGGUUGGGGAUGGACUCGCGGCUUAUCAGCUUGUUGGUGGGGUAGUGGCUUACCAAGGCUUUGACGGGUAGCCGGCCUGAGAGGGUGACCGGCCACAUUGGGACUGAGAUACGGCCCAGACUCCUACGGGAGGCAGCAGUGGGGAAUAUUGCACAAUGGGCGGAAGCCUGAUGCAGCAACGCCGCGUGCGGGAUGACGGCCUUCGGGUUGUAAACCGCUUUCGCCUGUGACGAAGCGUGAGUGACGGUAAUGGGUAAAGAAGCACCGGCUAACUACGUG
rnacentral:rRNA from 1 species